UACGUAGGGACCGAGCGUUGUCCGGAAUCAUUGGGCGUAAAGAGCGUGUAGGCGGCCACUUAAGUCCUGCGUGAAAUCCUGCGGCUCAACCGCAGGCGGUCGUGGGAAACUGGGUGGCUAGAGUGCGGGAGAGGAGAGUGGAAUUCCUGGUGUAGCGGUGGAAUGCGCAGAUAUCAGGAAGAACACCCGUGGCUAAGGCGGCUCUCUAGUACGGUACUGACGCUGAGACGCGAAAGCGUGGGGAGCGAACAGG
rnacentral:rRNA from 1 species